CCUGUAAGACUGGGAUAACUCCGGGAAACCGGGGCUAAUACCGGAUAGUUCUUUUCCUCGCAUGAGGAAAAGUGGAAAGGCGGCUUCGGCUGCCACUUACAGAUGGACCCGCGGCGCAUUAGCUAGUUGGUGAGGUAACGGCUCACCAAGGCAACGAUGCGUAGCCGACCUGAGAGGGUGAUCGGCCACACUGGGACUGAGACACGGCCCAGACUCCUACGGGAGGCAGCAGUGGUCAUA
rnacentral:rRNA from 1 species